rnacentral:rRNA from 1 species
UACGUAUGGGGCAAGCGUUAUCCGGAUUUACUGGGUGUAAAGGGAGCGCAGGCGGCCUGGCAAGCCUGAUGUGAAAUACCGGGGCCCAACCCCGGGGCUGCAUUGGGAACUGCCAGGCUGGAGUGCCGGAGAGGCAGGCGGAAUUCCUAGUGUAGCGGUGAAAUGCAUAGAUAUCACGCAGAACCCCGAUUGCGAAGGCAGCCUUCCGGCGCCCUACUGACGCUGAGGCACGAAAGUGCGGGGAUCGAACAGG